rfam:Oryza glaberrima chromosome 10 Oglab10_0118_38, whole genome shotgun sequence.
AAUAAGUGCAGUUUUGCACUAUUCACGUUCAAUGUUUGACCAUCCGUCUUAUUUGAAAAAUUUGUGAAAAAAUUAAAAACAUUUAGUCACACAUAAAGUACUAUUCAUGUUUUAUCAUCUAAUAGCAAUAAAAAUACUAAUCAUAAAAAAUUUUCAAAUAAGACGGACGGUCAAACGUUGAACAUGAAUAGUGCAAAACUGCACUUAUU